AGGCUGUCGUUUGCACAAUUUCACAAAUAAUCACCGGGACCGAAACAUACCUGUCAACUUUUUCCGGGUUUAUCACAUAUUUGAACUUUUUCCCCCCGCUGUCUUAGGAGGAGCUGCAGGGCCGUCGCAAGGGGGUGCAAGGUCCUGUGUGAACUUGACAGGUGCGAGGCCCUUUUCACUUACGUGCAUGAAAUCAUGCGAUACACGUAGCCUACCUUACACAUAGCCUAGGCUAC